rnacentral:rRNA from 1 species
GUUGAACGCUGGCGGCAGGCCUAACACAUGCAAGUCGAGCGGAUGAAGGGAGCUUUCUCCUGGAUUCAGCUGCGGACGGGUGAGUAAUUCCUAGGAAUCUGCCUGGUAGUUGGGGAUAACGUCCGUAAACGGGCGCUAAUACCGCAUACGUCCUGAUGUAGAAAGUGGUGGAUCUUCGGACCUCACGCUAUCAGAUGACCCUAGGUCGGAUUAGCUAGUUGGUGAGGUAAAGGCCUACCAAGGCGACGAUCCGUAACUGGUCUGAGAGGAUGAUCAGUCACACUGGAACUGAGACACGGUCCAGACUCCUACGGGAGGCAGCAGUGGGGAAUCUUCGACAAUGGGCGAAAGCCUGACGCAGCAACGCCGCGUGUGUGAAGAAGGUCUUCGGAUUGUAAAGCACUUUAAGUUGGGAGGAAGGGCAGUAAGUUAAUACCUUGCUGUUUUGACGUUACCAACAGAAUAAGCACCGGCUAACUUCGUG